rnacentral:lncRNA from 1 species
GCGCUUUCACCCGAACCCAAGGAGGACGACCAGGAAAGACGGGAACUCGCGUAGACACGCCCGGAAGCCCUUGUCAUGGUGAAGGAGGUCAUCAUUACCACCCCUGCUUUCAGCCAUUUCUUCAUUCAUUCAAUCAACAAACUGGCUGAGCUGCAACCCUGAGCCGGGGAAUUCAGCCACUCCAGACACAGCCCCUGCCCUCCGGGAAGUCUCGGGAGACCUGGCUAGUCUGGCUGGGAGAAGUCACACGUUGAUUGUCUUGGAAGUGAGAUGGCAUUUACACAAUGGAGGCUGCACUGCCAGCAGGCAAAAAUAACCAGUUAAUUCAGUGGCUUAAAGAAACCAAACCUACCCACAACGCUUGACCUCCCAUUGAUCCAUCUGCGACACCGGCAGUGGCUACCAUUUAUUGAGUGCUGAUGGUGUCACCUGGGAUUGACUUAGUGGUCUCUGGCGCUAGUUCCGAAGUUGAUUCUGUCUGGAGAGCUUAAUGCAGUGUUCAGACCUCAGGGUCCGAACCUGAGGGUCACCCAAAGAUGAGUGGGACAUAGCUGUGUGACCUCGGCUGAGUGCUUUCACCUCUCCAACCUCAGUUUCCUCUUCUGCAAAAUGGGGUGGCUUCAUGGCACCUUCACGUGGUGUGAUUGCGAGGAAUGAAGGGAUCGAUGCCUUGCAAGUAGAGGAGAAGGGGCCGGAUACAUCUUAGUUGUUAUGUUAUUUAAUCAUCUUGGCAACCCCGGGAGGGAGGAACCACUAUCAUUUUAUUUUCCAUUUUGCAGUUGAGGACAAUGAUGAUUCCAGCACAGACAGGGCCCCUGACGGGGCAGUAGGAAAGGAGAAUUGCUUUGGAAGGAGCAUAGGCUGGACUGCCAGCACUCAUAGGAGGCUUCGUGUGUGCCCAGGACUGCGAGAAUUAAAUACAGGACACCCAGUUCAGUUUGAAUUUCAGAUAAACUAUGAAUAAUGAUUAGUGUAAGUAUAUCUCAAUUUAA